CCUACGGGAGGCAGCAGUGGGGAAUAUUGGACAAUGGGCGAAAGCCUGAUCCAGCAAUGCCGCGUGAGUGAUGAAGGCCUUAGGGUUGUAAAGCUCUUUUACCAGGGAUGAUAAUGACAGUACCUGGAGAAUAAGCUCCGGCUAACUCCGUGCCAGCAGCCGCGGUAAUACGGAGGGAGCUAGCGUUGUUCGGAAUUACUGGGCGUAAAGCGUACGUAGGCGGUUAUUCAAGUCAGAGGUGAAAGCCUGGAGCUCAACUCCAGAACUGCCUUUGAAACUAGGUAGCUAGAAUCACGGAGAGGUUAGUGGAAUUCCGAGUGUAGAGGUGAAAUUCGUAGAUAUUCGGAAGAACACCAGUGGCGAAGGCGACUAACUGGACGUGUAUUGACGCUGAGGUACGAAAGCGUGGGGAGCAAACAGGAUUAGAUACCCUGGUAGUCCACGCCGUAAACGAUGAUAACUAGCUGUUCGGUCUCUACGAGACUGAGCGGCGCAGCUAACGCAUUAAGUUAUCCGCCUGGGGAGUACGGUCGCAAGAUUAAAACUCAAAGAUAGUACGGCGNGAGAGAGCGACGACGACGACGAGGAGGAGG
rnacentral:rRNA from 1 species